GUAUGAUUAUAUGGAUGGAAUGGAUUUGCACGGUUAAGAGAUGAAAGUGUAUGGAUUGGUGAGAUGUAGUAUGGCUAGAUGAAUGGAUGGAGGUCAUGGCAAGGAAAUUGUGUUUGUGAAUGAAGCUCUUUUGAUGGAUCAAGAUCUCCCUAGUUAUGGUGAAGGGUGGAUGUAUUUAUAGGCUAGGGAGAGGAGUGUAUGGAGUUGUGGUAAUGAGUGGAUGUAAUGGGUGUAGUGGGUGAGUG
rnacentral:lncRNA from 1 species